rnacentral:rRNA from 1 species
UACGAAGGGGGCUAGCGUUGUUCGGAAUUACUGGGCGUAAAGCGCACACAGGCGGCUCGAUAAAUUAGAAGUGAAAGCCCCGGGCUUAACCUGGGAAUUGCUUUUAAGACUGUCGGGCUAGAAUCCAGAAGAGGGUAGUGGAAUUCCGAGUGUAGAGGUGAAAUUCGUAGAUAUUCGGAAGAACACCAGUGGCGAAGGCGACUACCUGGUCUGGCAUUGACGCUCAUGUGCGAAAGCGUGGGGAGCAAACAGG